UAUGUAGAAAAGAAAAUGGUAUCGAGUAAGCAGUACGUUGACCCUGACCUUAAUCUCCACACCUUGUCAGUACAAGAUCGACGCCGGCUGCAAAGACUCGCCGACGGGAGGCAUGGCGCGGCUCAGACCACGCCGACGCGGCCGGUUUUCUCGCCGGAGCCCGCGUGCAUCCAUGCGCGCGGCGCCGUCGAGCUGACCGGACAGGGUCGCACAGCGUGGCCGAGGGUUUUGGGGGAUGCUCCACGCCGGCGAGGUGCCUCCGGCCGCCAGGACGCGCUGCGGUCCACGACGCGCUGUGAGGAGCCAGUGGAGGAGGUGAUGCUAGUGGUCGCUGGUCUCGGCCUGGCCGUCGAUUCUUGCAGGCUAUGCUCACCACACUCCUCCACCUCUCCUGUCCCUGACGGCAAUCGUCUUUACAGGAGGUCGUGGUCGAACCACGUCCACCGCUGCGACCUCGACGCCGCCAUUCAUGACCUCCUGGACAUCGAAAGGCAAUGGGCGCAGCCAUAUGGGACCUCCUCCAUGCACUGCAUCUGAAGACCGUGUAGGGUCGCGUCCACGGCGUGCAGGAGGUUGCCCCCAAGGACCACUGCUGCGACCUUGUUGACGUCGCUGUUCAGGACCUCGUCGACAUCGAAAGAGCACCUAGUUUCUUGUUUGGGCUGGCUGUUGCGGCGAGUUCACUGCGCCUCAGAAGUGACAUUGUUAAUUGAAUCAUGGCUGUGUGUAUGGCAUGGCUUGAAUCAUGGCUGUGUUAAUUGAAUCAUGCACGUGCUCUGUUGUGAUAUUAUUUAUAACAGGGCCACUUAGCGCCGUUGGCUGUGAAGUGGCAAUGGAGCUGAUGGCGAUGCUAGUUUAGGUUUGAGCUAGCUGCAGUUUUAAAAUUCGGAUGAUGCGUUUGUCAUUUUUGUGCUUAAACUGUAGCUAGAUUUGGUUUUGCUGAACAUGAUCGAUUUUUGUUCUUGUUGCUGUUGAAGCAGGAGUGGAUGCGGGCG